CCAAUCAGGCGCAGCCUGGGCAGCCCCGAAUCACGGGCCCAUGGCCCCCUCAUGCAUAUGCAGCAGAUUGUGAUCUUUACUCAUUGAGAGCUGAGGGAGUGAAAGAGCCCUUGACUAAGGUGGUGAAGGCUGAAGAAAGAUCAGAUUGAGGGGAAAGAUCAAGAGUUUGGCUUUGAGAAGCUUCAGUUUCCCUGCCUGCUUGCUGAGGCGCUGAACUGGGUGGCCUUGAAGAUCAUCAGUAACGUGGUCCCAACUCCUACCUCCGCACCUCGGGGCUGCACCUUUGCAAACUGAAGACCAGGAGACACCAACUGGACAACGCGGGUGGAAUCAAGGCUCUGUGGUAGCCCUGAAAACCAACAGCCUUGCAUCCACAGUAAACCAGCAGCCUAGCAGCAACUAGAGAGGACAGAGCAGCCACCUGUCUGGAGACAACCUCAUCAGUCUGGUCUCAGAUGUGUGUUCUCUCUGAUGGGAGACAGCUGGAGCGGCUGUCAGGGGCCUCGCCAGUGAUAGCGGGAACCUGCCUGGCACCUGUCGGCAGCACCUAAUCGCUGUCCUGGUGAUGGCUUCUGGGAGGGAGCUGGAAAGUGACGUGGGCAGCUCUUCGCUCCACUGCUCCUUGACGCUUCUACACGGCAAGGUCCCAGUCCCUGUACAUCUGGAAUCACAGAACCCCCAUCCCCACUCCACCCCCAGUGGAUUGAACUCACUGUCUUUGACUCUGGCCUCUGCCACUCCAAGGCGCCAAUCAGGCUCUUUUUGGAGGAUAAUGUUAUCCUCCCCGUGUUUGCUGCUCCCUCCGCCUCCAAGCCAUUGGCUUCCCUCUUCUGCCCGGUGAACUCAACGACUCCAGGGCCAGCUCACAAUCCCUUCCUUCAGACAGCCUGUCCUCCUCCUCCCAGGCAGAUCCUUCCUCCCCAGACCCCACAGCUCUUGCUCUUUGCACAUUUGUCUGCUAUUACACAUUGUCAGUUGUCAGAAAACAGAGUUCAGGUGGAUGCCUGCCUCUGACUCCUGAACUCAAGUUUUGAAGCUUAAGCAGGGAGACCAGGUGGGCUCAGGUGCCCUCAGCUGAAAAGGACAAGGGCUAGAGGCAGGGCAGGGUCUGGACCCCGGAAGGCAAAUCUGUUGGUGUUAAAAUGAGAGCCCCAGCUGAUGGUAAGGAGAGAGGUCUGGAUGGCACAGGAAAGACCCAGAGUACGGGCUGCUGACCACAGGGCAGAGUGCCAAGUUCCCAGGAAGGAGGCACAGAGGUCAGGAUAUGGCUGCAGUCCAGCAAAAACUGGAGCAAAAAAUUCAUACUUUUGAUUGAGACUGCCAAUCUUGAAGGAGACUGGAGCUGCUGGACCUGGGUUCAAAUCCCAGCUCCUCCACUUAUCUGCUGUGUGACCUUAGGUAAGUCACUUGACCUUUCUGAGUCUUGGUUGCCACCAUUAUAAUAUGAAGAUAAUAGUGCUCAAGUUAAGGAGAUAAAUAUUAGGGGAGCACAGAGAUGGGCACAGAGCCAGUGCUGGUCUCCAUCUUGGGGAAAGAGAACCACAGUUCUGCCUACUGGGUCUGCCUGAGACAAGCUUAGGGAAACUCUGCCAACUCCGGCACCCUAAUGAUGGUGGACAAAGGCUCCUGGCAGCCUCCAGGCUGUACUUGAUCCCUGACUCCUUUACUUCUUAACCGUGUGACCCUGAGCAGGUCAUUUCACCUCUCCACACCUCAGUUUUUUGUCCUAUAGACUGGAGACUUUAAUAGAACCCACCAUAUGGGGGGGUUGUUGGUAAAAAUGAACUGCCAUUAACCACUAUAGCAGUGAAUUACUUGUUAAUUGCUACGAAUGUUAAAAUUUAAUUGCUGAAAGCGUUAAUUGCUUUAACGCACUUACUGCAGUGCCUGGCACAUAGUGAGAAUUCAGUACUUAGCAGCUAUCAUUAUGGUCAUUGUUGACACUUGAGUGCCUGCUCUGUGCCAAACUUCAUGUCAGGCACCGAGGUCCUUGAGAGAGAGUGCAGAGCUGGGCAUGAUUUGGUCUCUAAGCAUUCAGAGUCCAUUUGGGGGUUGGCGGGUGGGAGGGGAUGGAAGCAUCCAAAUGAUCUGUGGAAAGUACAAAACAUUACAAGACAGGGUCAGAAAAGGUGAGGUACAGGAGGGCUUCCUGGCAGAGAAGGCCUUUGGUGCUUUGAUGACUAGGAAUGCAACAACAGCAUAAUUAAUGUUUACUGAGCACUUACUAUGUUUCCUGUCCUAAAGACUGGAGAUACUAAUAAACGUAAGUGUGUUGCCUGCAUUGUUUUAUUUAAAGCGCAUAACAGCAGUAGAUAGUAGAGACUAUUAUAUUAAUUUUUUAGAUGUAGAUACUAAGGCUCAGAGAGAUUGAGACACCUACUAAGAUCACCCGGGACUGAAUUUGAAUUUUCAAUUACUUGAGCUCUGAUGCCCCAUACUCCUCUGCACUCCAGGCAGAGGGAUGUAAAGAAUUAGGAAGAGGGUGGGUACAUGCAUUAACUGCAUUCCUAUUCUGAUGUAUGCCAGACCCUGGGCUAGGCACUUUGCCUACUUGAUCACAUGCAGUCCUUCAAACAAGCCAUAUGAGGUAGACCAUAUUUUAUCUCCAUUUUGCAGAUGAGGCAACUGAGGUGCAAAGCAGCUGAGCAUUUUGCACAAAGUCAAACAGCUAGAAAGUGGUAGCAUUGGAAUCUGACUCUAGGUAGUACAAUUUCCAAACCCAUGUUAUUUCUCAAACCCCAGGGGUAUGUCUUGGGGAUAAAGAAGAAAUUGUCUAAAGAUUUGGAUGCUUGAAGGCAACGAAGUAUGAAGCAGUUGGCACUGGAUUGUGUUCAUGCCUUUUAGAGCGUAGGCAAAGAUUGUAGAGUAGGGCAUGGCAGGGCCAGAGUUGCAUCAUCCAAAGAUAAAUCUCACUGCAACACCUAAAAUGGAUUGGAUGAGGGUGAAAGAAGCAGCGGGAGCCCCAGCAGGAAACAGCACGAGGUGAUGCUGACUUUGGAUGACAAGUGAUGGGGACAAAGUGGCCUUUUGUUGGGGAAGGAAAACAGAGUGAUCAGAGAUGAGAAACAGCCCGGGGCAGGGCCAUUAGCCUUAACAAAAAGCUGAUUGCUCUUAGCCUAGUAUUUAAUACGAUUUCCCGCUAUUAGGGCCCAAACUGGGCUAGCAAGAUUAUUAAUUCUAAAGAUAAUCAUUAAGCUGGGCGGACCGUAUUUUAAUAUAUGGCAACAGGCGAGCUAUUGUCAUUUUUCCCCCUUCUAUCUUGAUUGCGGGUCAUCCAAUUAGAGCUGGCUUCAAAUGUCCCUUCCUGGAGGUAGUGAGAUAAGGCUUUAAUGUCCUCAAAUAAGAGCUAUCGGCUGUGACGAGAGCACCAUAAAUAUUAAUAAAUCUAUAAUUAGUCCUGUGGAAAGAGGGAUCAAUCCAGGAGAAGGUUCCGCCCAUUAAUACGACAAAUCACUUUUGCAAAGUUGCAGGGAAAGCAAGGCUUUUCUGUUCUUUGCUCUAAGAGGAUGCAGUUCUGUUGAAUCUACCAGACUAAUUCAUGUCUUACUCUGAGAUAGUGCCAUGGGGGUGGUGAGAAGGCUCAGCAGGGGAGAAAGACUUUCCAGAGGUGGUGAUAGAAGGUUGGGGCCCCCUGUGAUCUUGUGUUUAAUUAUUUUAAUGUUGAACUUAAAUGGUUUUAUUAAGUUACUGUGUUUUAGAAUCCCAAUAAAGAAAAGACUUCUCAUUUUCCAUGUAAAAUUAGAGUGGGAUAAUAGACUACGUGUAUGGGGUUUGUGGAACGAUAAGGUGCCCAGAGAUAUGAGUACAUGUUAUUUUCCUAUUUAAAAAUUUGUGUUGAACAGGCACCCAGUAAAAUACACAAAUCUUGAAGCGUACAGCUCAAUGACGUUACAUGUGUGUAUACCCCUGUGUGACCAAUACCCAGAUCAAGAUAGAGAAUGUUCCUAUUGCUCCAGAAGGCUCCCUUGUGCCCCUCCCAGUGCACACCUCGCCCUCCACCCCACCCCGAGGUAACCUCUUCUGAUGUCUAGUACCAUAGACACAGUUUGCCUGUUCUUGAACUUCAUAUGAAUGGAAUCAUACAGUAUGAACUUCUGGGCCUUGCUUCUUUCACUCAUUAUUAUGUUUU